UACCUUUGUGGUAUUCCGGCAUAAGCAACCCCGGGCUAUCCCAAGGAAUUCCAGCUAGACCCCCAAUUUCAUCCAAUAGCGAUGUCAUUUCAAUACCCCCAAAGCGGAAGACAGACCGUUCACUAUCCCAAAACAAGUAACAGCUUCCACAAUCCUAUUAUCUGGCCUAACUUCCAGGAGUGAAGGAAGAUUUCCUAAGUGCUUGCGGACAAGAACCUGAUCACUACCAUGCAGAUUAUCCCACCAGCUUAGCAACUUCGGGUGAAUGUUUGAUACCAUACCGAAUCUGGGCACCUCGUGCCUCAUUUCCUGCAAAAUAGAGAGUUAGGCCCUUAACCCCACCGAACUCGACUAUUCAAAUCAAUAAUUAGCAAGAGGCAUUUAGUUCUCCAAAUCAAUGCAUAUAACGUGAGUGUCUGUUUGGGUUCGAGGAAACACGAUGGACUUUUGGCUUAGGCUGUCCUAAUGAGUCAUUAUGCGGACACCAUAACUGACUCGUCUAAGUUUGACCAUGAUGCAUGAAUAUUUAAACAGAGUAAGGCUUCUAUUUGAAGUGCUAGACAAGGUACCUUUGAGCGGACAACUCAAGAAGGAAAGGUACGGAACCGUCGACUACACUGUUGAUCGAGUGGUUUUACCGAAAAUAUGCCUUUGCCAAAUUUAGGGGGUUUGUAAUAAUGGAAGAGCGCAACCACUCAUUAUAAGCGUUGUUUUACCGCAAAUAUGCCUUUGCCAAAUUUAAGGGGUUUGUAAUAAUAGAAGAGCGCAACCACUCAUUAUAAGCGUUGCUAUAGGAUUUGUUUGGCACGAGUGGAAAAUAUUUAAGGGGUUUAUAAAUAUUGGAACAACGCAAUCACUCAUUAUAAACGUUGCUAUAGGAUUUGUUUGGCACGAGCGGAAAAUGAUUUUGAAGGAUGCAAUUACAACAAUGAAAUAAGUACAUGUAUUUUCACGUUCAUACAAUAAUGAUUACAAUAAAUGCUCAGAAUUUAAGACGGAAUUGAAAUAAUGUGAGGUAAUAAAGCAGUAAAACUUCAUAAAGAAAAAGAACGACAUGAAGAAACAAGUUAGUAAUUGUGAAGAAAUGAUUAAAUCAAUAAAUAAAGGUAGCAAAGAAAGAAAUAAAGUCAAGAAACACGUAAUGGUAAAAGCCUAAAAAGAAAUCCCCAGCAGAGUCGCCAUGCUGUCGACGCCCCCUUUUCCUCUAAAGCGAAAUCGGGUUUUAUGACAUUAUGGACAAAACAACUCUUAUUCCCAUUUUGGAGUUGGGUCGUGGAAUCUGAAAGUCGCCACCUAAUGAUUAUAGUGCAUUAGGACACUUUAAGAAGAGAGUAUUUUGAGAAGAAAACCAAAGUUCGGGUAAGGGCUUGAGAUUAUCUCGAGGGGAAGGUGUUAGGCACCCCUCAAGAUCCACUAGUAUGGUUCCCGGCCGUCUUAAUUAUGACUUUAUAAAAAAAAUGAAGCAAUUAAACAAGUUUCACACAUAUAACAUUCAUACAACUUGAAACGGCUUCAAAGAAGAAGGAAGGACGUAAAUUUAAAAUAAAAGAGAGGAUUGAUUUGGAAAAGCAUUACUAACACAACUUGAAAGCUAAAAAAAGGGAAGGACAUAAGUUUGAAAUAAGAGAGAGGAUUAGUUUGAAAAGAAUUAAGAAAGAAUUUAAAUAAAGCACAUAAAAGAAAGAAGGGUCCUAGGUUUAACUAUAAUAUGGAUCAUUCGAUGCAAUAUCCCGCACAUAUUCCCAAAGAAGGGUCGCUUUAUGAUAUUAUCGCAUCGUCAUCAUCUCCAUAUUCUACCCUUCCCACCCCGUUGAGGUAUUUGAGUGCGUGAAUUGGCUACGAAUGCUUAUUGCGUGCUAUUACCCGUUCCAUCCUAUAUAUCCUAAAGGGAAUUUAGGAUCACUAUUCCUAUGAGGUAGGAACUAGGUGGAACCCUUAAGUUCAAAGGUUAAGAUGUUAGGCGACAUACAAAACAAAUAAGACUACAUAUAAUGGAAUCAUGUAAGCAUGUAAAGGCUCAAAUAUCCCUUCAUGAACAAACACGUAUUUAGCACGUCUCAAACACAUUCAAGGUCUAAGGAAGGGAGAAAUUUUAGAAGCUGGAGCAUAAGUUUAAAAACAGAAACUAGAGAAUUUGCGUAAGGGAGUCGUAAAAACGUUUAGAACUUGAAAAAGACAGUAGCAAUUUUAGGAAUUUGAAAAUAUUCGUGGAACAUAUGGCAAAGGGAAUUUUUGGACAGAUAGUAUUUUUUAAGACUGCAAAAGUAUAAAUAAAAGCAAUAAAUCAUGUUAACUUAGAAAUACAGUUUGGAAAAUUGCAGAGUUUACAAUACUCAAAUAGUUCUUUACGAAAAUAGUAGUCCAGUUAUGGUCUGGGGAAAGAAGAGUAAUUCAGUAAAAGUAGUUGUCCAGGCAGUUAAAAAAAGAAGCUUUUGUAUAAAAAUCAGGGGGUUCAGAGAUAAAUUAAUUUGGACCGUGGUGGAAUAAUUUAAAUACGACUUAAGGCGAUUAAUCCGUUUUUUUACGGCCAAGGCUUGCCUAGGCGUUAUUUAAACCGUAAAGAAAAGUGGACAUGCAUAUUAGUUUCCUAUUUAAAAGGAGUUUAUUAACUAGUGUUUUUACUAAAUUAGCAAGGUAUUCAACAGUUUCAAACAAAGGUCCUAAAUGCAGGAUAUCUAAUGCACACAAAAGUCCUAAAACAUGGUAUCUAAAAGCAAUGGUAAUAAUAUUGAUUAUUAACUGAUUGUGAUUAUGAAAAUGUAUAGAAUAACAUACUGAGGAUGAGAGACCUAAGAACAGGAUUUCUACGUGUAAGAUGUGUGUCCUAAACAUGAUUUCUAUUGCGCAAAUAGGUAAGUAAAAUCCUAUAAACAUGUUUUCUGCCCAUUCCCCUUAACUAAGCAUGCAUAACCCUCCUAAUUUCACUAUAAACCCCAUUAUUCUUUACAAGUUAUCACAUACCAAGUAAUUAAAAAAUACAACAGUGAUAAAAAGGGAAGAAACUAUUCUAUAGGGAGCCUACAGUCAGGCCCAAGAUCUCUAACCUCACUUCUUUCGAGUUUCACAGCCAUUACAAAGGCUUGGGUGCGGCAAAGUUCCCUAAGGGUUCGUUUGAACCCCUGGCCAAUACCAAGCACCCAAAACAUCAUAAUCAGACAAGUGCAAGUGUGGAAUUUCCAGCCUUGUGCAUCAAAGUUCAGUGGGUGCUCAGGGCUCCCAAGGCAAUGCUUACACUAAGGGGGCAUAACCUAAUUUCUAAGAUUAGUGAGGUUGUGAUAGAGUUUGAAAAAGGUUGAGUUGAAAACAGUUGAGAGACAGUUUGAGAAAAAACAGUAAGAGAAAAGUGAAAAGAGUUCUUCUGAAAUCCCUUUAGGCUAGCCAGUUUUGAAAACAAAGAGUCACACAAACAAGGGCAAGGGAAAGGGAACAAAUAAUUCAUAAGUAGGGAAACUAUUCACAUAGGUGUAAUACAUCAAAGAGAAGUAAUCAAACAUGCUUCAAAUAAAGUGUCCAGUUCUUACUGCACCAGACUCCAAACAGGGGCAACCUCAGGAAGAGGUUUAAGUGGCCAAACAGGUCCUGAAUACAUGCUAGUUGUGAAAAAGAACGAGGAAAACAUACAGGGGGAUAGGGAAGGUGGUAAUGAUCAUGAUGAGUCAAGCUAGGCAUACUAAUUAACAUAUGUGAAUGCUAGUGUCAAUAAGAACAGCAGGGAAUGAGGAAAAACAUACAGGGGCAUAGGGAAGGGGGUAAUGAUCAUGCUAAGUCAAGCUAGGCAUAAUAAUUAACAUAAAAGCAUGCUAGUGACAAUAAGAACAACAUAACCAUAAGUAAAAGCACACAAGAAACAAGAGGAAAUGCAGAACUGCUAGGAGCAUAUUGUUUUGGAGGUUGUACCUUAAGGAGGUGACAUACCAGUUGAAGCUAAUGCAACACACUAGUAGUGAGCAAUAGUGCACAAAGGAAUAAGGUGGUCAAAGUGAGUGAGCAGCGAAGCGAGUAACAGUGUGCAGCAGCAGUACGAGAAUAGCAGCAGCAACAAACCCAAAUAAACAAACAAUGGAGCCCAAUAAUGUAGAAAUAGUUUACCAGGCUACUCAAUCUUGGCUUUCAGCCAAUUGAGUGUUCAAAUAAGAGAAUGAGAGAGUAUAGUAACAACAGAGAAAGAGAGAAUUCAAAGAGUAUGAAAUUGUGAGAGAUAUGCAGUGUGUGUUGGUGUGUUUCAAAGAGAAGGGGGAGGAGUAUUUAUAGUACUGGAAAAUGAGUUCAUAAAACAAGCACCAAUCCUUAAUUAAGGAACUAGCAUCAAUUAAAAUUAAAUUAGUAUAAGGACUCCCCUUUAAUUAAGGAUCUAAGACGAAAGGUAACAAGCAGAGAUUUUUAAAGGAAAGAAAUCAAUCAAACUAUUGUAUUUAUCCUGGUAAGAAUAGUAAAGCAUAUAAUAUGCAAUAGGGUUAGACACAUGGCAAUUCAAUUAAGGAAAAUAUAUGAUGAAGAUUCAAAUGACUGUUUAUGCACAAAUAUGGUAAGGGAUACAAAAAAUUAACUUUGAAAAUUAUUCCCAGAAUCACGGACAAAACAAAAUAUGGAGAACUUCUCACAAGUAAGGAAGUAAUUCAAAAUCGGUGUAAAACCUUUAAGGAAAAACUCAUACGAAAUAGGGAUCCAGAGAGAUGCAUAGAAUCAGUGGAAUAUCACAUGAGCGAUGAACAAUUAGACCUAUAAAAUCUAAUAGACUCGAAAAUCAGAGAACCUUAAGCAAGUAAGCAUGGAAGCACAAAGGGUCGGAACCCUAACAAGAAAAAUUAAAGCAUGGAACCCAGGUUAACAAUGAAACAAAACAAACAAGUAAAACAAACAAACACAAACGAACAUAUAGUACUCAGAAAGAGCAGAAGAAGCGAUUUUGAAGAAGGGGGUCAGAAACCCUAAUUUGAAAAGAGAAGAAACCAUCUGAAAUUUGAAAUAAUCGGAAACACUAAGUAAGAAACAAAGUAGAAAACAAAAUCAAGAUGAGAAUCUUCAAAAUAAUCGGAAACACUAAGUAAGAAAUAGAGUAGAAAACAAAAUCAAACUAAGAAUUGUUUUAAAAGAGCAGAGAUUAAAGAGGUUCGAUUAGAGAAAUUAGGGUUUGCAAACAAAUUAGGGAAAACGAAGAACCUGGCCGUGAAACUCGUAUACAAUGCAAUAGAAGGCAUCAUCGGAC
rnacentral:lncRNA from 1 species